rnacentral:tRNA from 2 species
GCGGACGUGGCUCAGCUGGUAGAGCAUCACCUUGCCAAGGUGAGGGUCGCCGGGUCGAAUCCGGUCGUCCGCUCCA